GCCCCUUUAGCCCAAUGGCAGAGGCAGACGACUUAAAAUCGUCACAGUGUGGGUUCGAGUCCCACAAGGGGCACC
rnacentral:tRNA from 1 species